rnacentral:rRNA from 1 species
UACGUAGGUGGCAAGCGUUGUCCGGAUUUACUGGGCGUAAAGAGCGCGCAGGCGGUCGUUCAAGUCGCGUGUGAAAGCCCCCGGCUCAACUGGGGAGGGUCACGCGAUACUGAUCGACUCGAAGGCAGGAGAGGGUAGUGGAAUUCCCGGUGUAGUGGUGAAAUGCGUAGAUAUCGGGAGGAACACCAGUGGCGAAGGCAGCACUCUGGGCCGGUACUGACGCUGAGGAGCGAAAGCGUGGGUCGCAAACAGG